GCUAGAACGGAACGGAAGAAACCAGAGGCAGGAGGAGAAAAUACAGGAACUAACAGUGCGACCCGCUCUGGCUGGCGCUUUGAUUUUCCCAUUUACUCUAGCCUGCCCACCCCAGGUUGUCAAGAAACCCACAGUCACAGGAGGUGACAUAUGCAUGCCCAGAGAUCUACCCAAAAGAAUAUAAGUGACAGUACCAGCAAGGAAUUCAGAAGAGAAAACUUCAUUUGUGGGAGGGAGUUGGGGGAGAGAGGAGAAGCAGUAUCUGGAAAGGCUCCCUGGAGGAGGUAACAUUUAGGCUGGACCUAGAAGAAACGAAGUGUGGAUUCUCCAAGAGAGAUGGGUUGUUUGCCAGCAUACUGGCAAGUCAAGAGGUGCCAGACCCACAGUUGCGGACGAAGUAGGAGUCAUACUUUCAUCCCCUGCUGCCAUCUCCCAGCUGCCCUCCUAAUUUGAACACUGCGUUGACCACAUUUUGAGCCAAGGUCCUAAUCCCUUUUAGGAUUGAAAACCUAUGGCUUGAGAGUGGACACCCAGCAGGUAGACUUUGACUGUCUAGAACCGUGAAUUUAGACCAAAGGGGACUGUCAAGGGCAGGGAUGGGAAAAUGGCACUAGGGGCGCUCUCACCAGAGCUCCUAACUACUAGAGCCAAGCAUUCCCGCGCUUUUCCCAGAGGGAUCUGAUCUGAGAUGUACCUUGGCCAAUCUGCAGUUUGUCUUUCUGGAGUCACAGGCAGUCGUAGACUGCGAAAGUGAAGAUCCCCAGGCGGUGGAGAGGACUGGUUUCGGUUAUACAUCCCCAUGAAUGAUCUGUGCCUUCUGUCAGCAAAACAAAAAAGCAUCAGUCACACCAAUUUAGUGAAGUCUCCAAACGUAUUCUGAAUGAAAUUCUACUUUUUUUUUUGUACACAACCAAUUUCUUCGUUUGAAGUUGGAUGCUUCGCAAGCAGAAUGCAAUUCCAUUUCUCAUUCCUCAAAGUUGUGGCCUGUGUUAACUUAAGUGGGCAUUCACACAAGUAUUAAGAAGAAAAACCAUUCUCUUCUGGAAAAUGGAACAAAGUAGCACUUCUCCAAGCAGGGUGCAGAUAUAUAAUCUGUAACAACAAAUUAGCUCCCUAGUGCUGCGCAUUUCCAGCUAGCAUCCUGCCUUCCCUGUUUAUAACUUUGGUGCCUGCAAUUAUUUUUAUUUUAAUUUUCUGUCACUUUAACAAAAACCAGAGCCUUUUCUUUUAAUGUUUUGUACACAACAUGUUCAUUUUGAUAAGAUGUUCUUUCCUAUCCUCUUUUAGCUUGCCUUUCCUUGUUUAGAGUUCUGUAUCAGGCGUUUCUAAUAUUUCUCUCUCUUUUUUUAAGAACUUGUCCCUGUCUUGCUUUAUUUGUUUGUGUGAAAUUUAGUUUGAAAGGAGAUCAGAGAGAGCAGGAGGGGUUUGUAAUAAGAGAAUGACCGAAUGACCCAAAGGCUGAUUAUCUAUCAUUAACUGGAGACUUGGUGUACCCAAAUUACCAAGGAGACCUCAGUCUGCCGGAUCCUUACCCAGCUAGAAAGGCAAGCCUGGAAUGCACACACUGAAACAGGCUCAUGGCAUUGCAACCGAGGACGUAGUUCACACAAGAUUUUCUUAAGGGGUUUUCCUGCAAAACUCAACUCAAGUUCAGUAGAUAAAUUUUCUAGAUUCUGAUAUGUUGUACUCAGGUAAAAAUCUCUGCCAAAAGAUUACCUAUAACAUUUCUGUAACUAACUUUUUUGUGUUGUUUUGUUAGGAGCAAAAUUGCAGUUAAUUGUCUAAGCUCCAGAGAAUAUUGAGAAAUCAAACCAAGCUGCUUUUGAUCUGCUCACACUGCUAAACCCAAGCCUUGUAAAAAUCGAGGUUUGCCAUUAAUAUUGACAAUAAAAGUGUUUCUUUUUGUUAACCUGAAA